rnacentral:rRNA from 1 species
GACGAACGCUGGCGGCGUGCUUAACACAUGCAAGUCGAACGGUGACCCAGGGCUUGCCCUGGUGAUCAGUGGCGAACGGGUGAGUAACACGUGGGCAACCUGCCCCUGACUUCGGGAUAACUCCUCGAAAGAGGAGCUAAUACCGGAUACGACCACUUCGGACAUCCGAUGGUGGUGGAAAGUUUUUCGGUCAGGGAUGGGCCCGCGGCCUAUCAGCUAGUUGGUGGGGUAAUGGCCUACCAAGGCGACGACGGGUAGCCGGCCUGAGAGGGCGACCGGCCACACUGGGACUGAGACACGGCCCAGACUCCUACGGGAGGCAGCAGUGGGGAAUAUUGCGCAAUGGGCGAAAGCCUGACGCAGCGACGCCGCGUGAGGGAUGAAGGCCUCGGUUGUAAACCUCUUUCUAGCAGGACGAAGCGAAAGUGACGGUACCUGCAGAAGAAGCACCGGCUAACUACGUGCCAGCAG